AUUGAGCGCUGGCGGCAUGCCUUACACAUGCAAGUCGAACGGUAACAGGUCUUCGGAUGCUGACGAGUGGCGAACGGGUGAGUAAUACAUCGGAACGUGCCCGAUCGUGGGGGAUAACGGAGCGAAAGCUUUGCUAAUACCGCAUACGAUCUACGGAUGAAAGCAGGGGACCGCAAGGCCUUGCGCGGACGGAGCGGCCGAUGGCAGAUUAGGUAGUUGGUGGGAUAAAAGCUUACCAAGCCGACGAUCUGUAGCUGGUCUGAGAGGACGACCAGCCACACUGGGACUGAGACACGGCCCAGACUCCUACGGGAGGCAGCAGUGGGGAAUUUUGGACAAUGGGCGAAAGCCUGAUCCAGCCAUGCCGCGUGCAGGAUGAAGGCCUUCGGGUUGUAAACUGCUUUUGUACGGAACGAAAAGACUCCUUCUAAUAAAGGGGGUCCAUGACGAUACCGUAAGAAUAAGCACCGGCUAACUACGUGCCAGCCGCCGCCGUAACAC
rnacentral:rRNA from 1 species